GUGUCAGCAGCCGCGGUAAUACAGAGGGUGCAAGCGUUAAUCGGAAUGACUGGGCGUAAAGGGCGUGUAGGUGGAUAAAGAAGUCAAAGGUGAAAUCCCCGGGCUUAACCUGGGAACUGCCUGUGAAACUGAUUAUCUAGAGUAUAGGAGAGGGAAGUGGAAUUUCCGGUGUAGCGGUGAAAUGCGUAGAUAUCGGAAGGAACACCAGUGGCGAAGGCGACUUCCUGGCCAAAUACUGACACUGAGGCGCGAAAGCGUGGGUAGCGAACAGGAUUAGAUACCCUGGUAGUCC
rnacentral:rRNA from 1 species